rnacentral:tRNA from 1 species
GGGCCGGUAGCUCAGCUUGGACUUUUUCCCUGCUUGACGCUUGUAGGGAAAGGGGUGCACUUAGAGCACGUGACUGAUAAUCACGGGGUCGCCGGUUCAAAUCCGGUCCGGCCCA